CCAGAACGGAGCAACAUGCCAUAUCUUCAAUGGUGCAUGCAAAUGUACCACUGGAUGGAAGGGAAUAGCCUGUGAUAUAGAUUUGGAGUAGAAAUUUACUCUGUUGCUGACCAAGACGCUGGAAUAUAUGAAUGUAAUGUAGUUGACAUAUAUGGUGAAGUGUACAAAGAUUACUCGACUCUGAUAGUGACAGGAUGCGAAAAUAAUCGUUGGGGUGCAAUAUGUGAUAAAAAUUGUAAUUGUGAAAAUGGUGGUAACUGCAGUCGUAAAGAUGGUUGUAUUUGUAGUCAGGGGUGGAAUGGAACAUACUGCACAGAAGAUGUAGGAGCUCCGGAAUUCGUGUUUUGUCCGCACAACAUCACGGCAUUAUUAGAUGAAGGGUCAUUGUCCACUGCAGUCACGUGGCCAAAAGUUGAAGUCAAUGACAAUUCAGGACUGUUUAAUCUGACAUCAAACCAUGAAGCAGGAGAACAAUUUAUCAUAGGAAUACACAACAUAUUGUACACAGCAGUAGAUAUUCAUGGAAAUACUGCCUUGUGUAAAUUCAGUGUAAAUGUGGACGCUGUCAAUAUUGGAACAACUGUGAAAACUGUGUUUAUUGUGACUUCACUCGUACCGGUAGUCUUGUUUAGUUUCGGUUCUGUUGUGUGUCUCUGAUACAGAAAGAAUAAACUAAUGUAUCCAGCGCUAUUUGGUAGAUCUGAGGAUGAUGAUGAUAAGGAAUGGGAUGCAUUUGUAGCUGUUAGAGGGGGUACGGAAGAUGAAACAUUUGUAUAUAAAGAAUUAUUGCACGAAUU